CCUACGGGAGGCAGCAGUGGGGAAUAUUGGGCAAUGGGCGCAAGCCUGACCCAGCAACGCCGCGUGAAGGAAGAAGGCUCUCGGGUUGUAAACUUCUUUUAAGCGGGAAGAGCAGAAGACGGUACCUCUUGAAUAAGGCACGGCUAACUACGGGCCAGCAGCCGCGGUAAUACGGAGGUGGCAAGCGUUGUCCGGAUUUACUGGGUGUAAAGGGCGUGCAGCCGGGAAGACAAGGCAGAUGUGAAAGCCCGGGGCUCAACCGCGGAACUGCAGUUGAAACUGGUUUUCUUGAGUACCGGAGAGGUAAUCGGAAUUCCUUGUGUAGCGGUGAAAUGCGUAGAUAUAAGGAAGAACACCAGUGGCGAAGGCGGAUGACUGGACGGCAACUGACGGUGAGGCGCGAAAGCGUGGGGAGCGAACAGGAUUAGAUACCCGGGUAGAC
rnacentral:rRNA from 1 species